UUCAACCCACGGCUGGAUAUUUACAGCAGUUGUUUAACAAGCAGCCUUUUCCCCGCACCGUGUUCUCGAGGAACGCCGAGUCUUUAUUAGAAUUUGAUUCACGCCGAAUCGUUUCGGCGGGUGUGGGGGGAAAUAGUAAAGGUAAAUUGCCAUGAAUUGGAAUGUAAGACGGUGUCGGUCACACCUAAUUUGGAGGUGGGAUACACCCUUGACCGGUCGCCAGCCAAUCACAGAUCAGACGCAGAUUAAAAAACAUUCAGUCAUAUUCAAACCCACGGUCAACGUUCUGAACAUGUACUGAAUCAAUCAUACAUCGUGUGGGGAAUUUUCAAAUGAAUGUAUUGCUGGAUAUUGUUCGAACACUCGGGAGGAUGGAUUUACUCUUCAUACUUUUCCAAAAGACCCGGUUCGUCGUGAAAAAUGGAAAAGGACGAGAGCUUCGUGGGUUCAGAAUGACAGGUAGGUGUGUACAGAGCUAUUAAAAAAAAUAAUCGUAAUCCUUCUCUCAGAACGUAACAAAAGAUCAGCGUACGUUAGUCAGGGGUGCUAAAUGUAUCGAUGUGACGUUGGCGCCCCGUCCGACAAUCACGGCUCUGGCGCCGUGCCCCGCCCAUCGUGGCUUCGGCUGGGGUGACUCAGCCGGGCCGCUUUACAGCUGUUUCACAUUGGGACUGUAAUUAGACAGGCAUUUAAGUUGGAGUUUUUGUCCCUGGCGUUUGCCAGUUCGUUGCCUUGCGUUAGCGAGUUGCAUUCACUUCCUGUGGGACUCUCCGCUUCUACGCGUAAGUUAGAGUAAUCCUGGUCACAGCGAUUCUGCGCCCUUUUGUUUGAUCCUGACCUGCUGAGUUGUUAGUUUGCCCCAUAGUCAUCGGACCUUGCUGCAUGUUUUUUGGGAUCCCGCCGAGCCUUUCUGUACCUCUGCCUUGUCGGACUGCUACACCGUCUAGGACCCAGUUUCCGGAAUAAACUACAUUGAACAUUAUGCCUCUGCCUCAAAGUCCUGCAUUUGGGUUCGCCCCUGUACCGGAGGUUCGUGGCAUACAUACUGUCGCGGAGUCUGUUGUUAGUUAGAAGUCAUCCUCAUAUCAUCGAAAUACGGCUCGAAACGAUCGGGUAAUAUUGCCCCGGUCACUUCACUCGACUGUGAGAUGUUCUCUUCUUCGAAAAGAGCUUCCGUGCCAGAAGGAGUUGUCGGGAAAAAUCCGAAAAUCUCUGUUGUUCCUCACCCAUGGCAGAUGCCAUUACGUGUUUUCAAUGGGGAAUGUCCCAGUGUGACGUCUGCAGGCAAUAUGGCUACCACUUGGAUGUCGAGCAAGACUUCCGCAACUUUGCGCAUGGAUGACACGCUCUCCGCUCAUAUUUAUUUUUUUUCAUUUCAACAUUGACGUGAAUAAUGUUACAUGUAUUUUUCGUUACAAUAUCUAGUUUAGAAUGUUUAUGGGCAUGAUAGUGGCCCUUUAAGAAUGAUUCUUCUGACGAGCCGAUCUUUUUGCGGGCCAGAAAACGGAUUCAGCACGAGACGGCCGUUGCUCGAACCCCGGUGCUUGUAGCUUAGCUUGCUAUUGUUUGUGAUUUAUGUUUGAAAUGUUGCAGUUUUGUACCGCAUAAAUGUGUUGGUGGCCGUGGGUAACGCAGCAGAAACAAGAAAUUAUGUAUUCAUCAGUUUAAGCAUAAUCAUGUCUUGCACAAACAUAUUAAGUUAAUACACAACGUAAACGCACCCCUCCCCAUCGGUUGAACGUCUUCUGGGUCGGCGAGCUGCUGGUCGACGUGAGAGUGAAGCGAGCAGGCCUGACGCUCACCACCAGUGCGAGGCGGUCCGGUCGGCGCCACUCGGACUUGUGCCGUCGGAGAGGAGGAAAUGAGAGAUGAGAGAUGCGCUCCAUUUUCUUUUCAUCACGAGGUUCAAUUGGUCAAAGAACGCCUUGCCAGCGUACUGAACGUCGGCGGUCAUUUUCAAUGGGAAGGCCGGAUUUGGACCGCAUGAGUUCGUUGCAGUUUCGAACUUGGUUGUUACCGACGGUUAACAAAAAAAAAAAAAAAAGAGACUGUGGAGUAUAAUAAUGCAUCAUCCAAAGUUAUGGAACAACAACAAGACUUGGACUUUGAUCGACAGAAUUUCUCCAGCGCUCGUCAUCGUUGGCGUCCCAGGUGAGCUGGAACCCGUCCCGGCUGACUUUGGCGAGAGGACACCUGGACUUGAUGGAUAAUACCUCCUUUGGUGUUGUUAGCCGAGAGCCAAAGACAGGACCGGACCUGCCAGCGACAUCUGUCAUCAUCCAGCACGAAUCUGUUACGCCGCACAUGCAUAAUGGAUGACAGUCGACUUGAUUCGCACGGCGGGGCGACACCAGCAUUAUCGCGACGUAGACGGAAGAUGAUCACAGACGGCGAGCGUGCUUUUUGUGCAGCGGGGUCUCCUCGCAUGACACCCGAAUGCCAUCUUUGACGGCGGCGGCCUCAGCAGUGCGCAGUCGCAGUUUGGCGCUGAUUGGGUGUAAUCGGCUGCGCUGAUGUCGAAGUGCGCACAGCCAGUAAUUGAACUUCUCUGCGCCGGUGACUCAGAUGACUUGAAAUUGCCCGGCUGACCCCCCUCUCCCCGCCUGCGCUGCACCCGAGCCCAUCACCUCAACAAAUAGCGAUGUAGGCCGCUGAAAUAUUCAUAUUUUCAAAGAAAUUAAAUUCGCUGCACACGUUUCACGCUGAAGCAGGACCCUGGUAUGAAGCGCAUGCCUCCUCUGUUUCCAUGGAGACAUCAAAUGCCCCCCCCCACACACACACCCCACUGCACCCAUCUGAAAACAUUCUUGUUCUCCUGUGAGAAAACAUAUUUAAGGCCAUUUUCCAAGAUGGGAGGUGAUCCGAUCGCUGUAACUGCAUGUGCAAUAUGUAGACCAGGCGUAAUCAACCGAGCCAGCUGGAAUUGACACCGUCGGAUCUGGACCGACCUCUGAAGAACCGGGUACAAAUGUUUGCAUAUGUUUUUUGUUUUGUUUUUUUCAUUUCUUUUGCCAAAGCAGAGGACAAAGAUCUUUUUUUUUUCCCCAGCUAGUUGGACCAUUUAAAUCAUUCCAAUUAGAGUGAAACGUGCCCACAAAGUUGUUCGAUUUGUAAACUUUUCAGAGAAAACGGACUGAUCGCGACACAGAAAAGCAAAGAGGAAAAUUGUGGUGACCGGGAGUGGAGAUUAAGGUGCACGACGACCAAAGCAGCAUGAAAAUGACGAUAAAAUAAAAAUGGAAUGUACACUUGUUGGAUAAACAGGGGGAUAAUGUAGAAAUAAUUGUAAAUAUAAUUACGUAACUGUUCCUGCCUGCAAUGAAGAAUGCUUUGCUCUGCUCAAAUUAAGAAAAUGUUCCUG